CCUACGGGUGGCAGCAGUGAGGAAUAUUGGUCAAUGGCCGGAAGGCUGAACCAGCCAAGCCGCGUGAAGGACGAAGGUGCCAAGCAUUGUAAACUUCUUUUGUCAAGGGACAAAAUCAGGCUCGAGAGCCUGACCGAGGGGACUUGAAGAAAAAGCAUCGGCAAACUCGGUGCCAGCAGCCGCGGUAAUACGGAGGAUGCGAGCGUUAUCCGGUUUUAUGGGGUUAAAAGGGUGCGUAGGUGGACUGUUAAGUCAGAGGUAAAAGCCCGGGGCUCACCCCCGGCGAGCCGUUGAAACUGGGUGUCUUGAGAUGUCGAGAGGUAUGCGGAAUGCGCAGUGUAGCGGUGAAAUGCUUAGAUAUUGCGCAGAACUCCGAUUGCGAAGGCAGCAUACCGGCGGCGAUCUGACGCUGAGGCACGAAAGCGUGGGUAUCGAACAGGAUUAGAUACCCUAGUAGUC
rnacentral:rRNA from 1 species